rnacentral:rRNA from 1 species
ACGGGAGGCAGCAGUGGGGAAUAUUGCACAAUGGGGGAAACCCUGAUGCAGCGACGCCGCGUGAGUGAAGAAGUUAUUCGUAAUGUAAAGCUCUAUCAGCAGGGAAGAAAAUGACGGUACUUGACUAAGAAGCUCCGGCUAAAUACGUGCCAGCAGCCGCGGUAAUACGUAUGGAGCAAGCGUUAUCCGGAUUUACUGGGUGUAAAGGGAGCGUAGACGGCAAAGCAAGUCUGAAGUGAAAUCCCGGGGCUCAACCCCGGAACUGCUUUGGAAACUGUUUAGCUAGAGUGCAGGAGAGGUAAGCGGAAUUCCUAGUGUAGCGGUGAAAUGCGUAGAUAUUAGGAGGAACACCAGUGGCGAAGGCGGCUUACUGGACUGUAACUGACGUUGAGGCUCGAAAGCGUGGGGAGCAAACAGGAUUAGAUACCCUGGUA